CAAAUGGUGAGGGAACCUCUGAUGUGUUUGCAUGCCAAUGUAGCAUCUGCUGAUAAUAGGUUGAUGAAUCAGAUGGGGUUACAAUGUUUGGAUUCAUGAUAACAGUUUGAGCAUUUUGUCAAGACUACAGAUAAUGCUUUUUCCCUCAGUGCUAAAGAUCUCUUAUCCUUUCAGAAAGAAAAACCAACCUUGAGAGGUGCACCAAAGUUGGAGUAAUCUCACCUUUUAUCAGACAUCUGCAGUAUCAUGGCCGUGCCUACUGUGGUCCUGGAGACACUUGAUGUGGUCAAUAGAGAAACAUGGUUCAGAAGAUAAGUGUGUCAGGAAAGAGCCAAUAUACUUCUCCGGUAUGCGUGUACUGAAUAUAGCAGUGAUGACAUAACGUCUCCUUGGUGCCUGAGGUUAGAAGAUAUCUGUCCUUGGAAGACUGUUUCAUGAACAAAUGCCAGGAGAAUACUGUGUAAGUGAAAGGACCUGUUUUUUAUAACUAAACUGACAUCUAAAUUUUUCAAAAUUUGAUGUUAAUUUCCAUGUUCG
rnacentral:lncRNA from 1 species